UUUUUGUUUUCUUUUUGGUUUCCUUUGCUGUGCAAAAGCUUGUCAGUUUGAUUAGGUCCCAUUGGUUUAUUUUUGCUCUUAUUUCUGUUGCCUUGGGAGGCUGACCUAAGAAAACAUUUGUAUGGCUGAUGUCAGAGAAUGUUAUGCCUCUGUUCUCUUCCUGGAGUUUGAUGGUGUCUUAUCUUCUAUUUUAGUCUUUUAGCCAUUUUGAGUUUAUUUUUGUGUGUGGUGUGAGGGUGUGUUCUAGUCUCAUUGAUUUGCAUGCAGCUGUCCAGUUUUCCCAGCAAUUCUUGCUGAAAAGACUUUCUUUUCCCCAUUUUAUGCUCUUGCCUCCUUUGUCAAAGAUUAAUUGAACAUAGGUGUCAGGGUUUAUUUCUGGAUGCUCUAUUCUGUUCCAUUGGUCUGUAUGUCUGUUUUGGUACCAGUACCACACUGUUUUGAUGACUGUGGCUUUGUAAUAUUGCUUGAAGUCUGGAAGAGCUAUGCCUCCUGCUUGGUUUUAGUUUCUCAGGAGUGGUUUCUAACCACUUCUCCCCACUUUGUCCUCAGAGCUGGUUCUGGCAGGAAAUGUAGAGGCCAGGGUCCAGCCUGGGAGGCACAGGGGCAGGCACUGGGCAGCAUUGUGGUCUGAGGGCCCCUUGGUGCCCCGCACAUGAGACUGACACCCAAGAUCUGGAGGCUUCGUAUCCAAGACCAGACCCCUGACCUGUCUGCAAACAUAGGGGUCUGGAAACUACCCCACGUCUCUUGGCCACUGACGGCUAGCCGUGGCAGCAUCCACCCAGCAGCCCAGGUGCCCGAGGUCCCUUCCGGUCCCCUGUGUGUGACACCUGCCCAGUCCACACGUGUUUGUGCUGCUCCUGAUCUGGUCCCGGCCGGCUCAGGGCUGGGCUCCCACAGCGAUGACCACCACGUCCAGGCUCCUGGGUGCCCUCCUGCCCGGGCACUCGGCCCUCAAGGAUAUCUGCAUCCGAGGACAGCCAAGCAGGACAUCUAGGCUCCAGGCCCUCUUCCAGGUCAAGAUAAGCCAGACCUGAGACACAGGAAUGGCGUGGGGGCUUAUGUAACUGAGAGGCAUAGGAUCCUGCCCUGGCUCCAGACCCGGAUCUGUCAUCAGGACCUCUGUGGGCAGUGCAGGUCCCAGUGUGGACGCUGAGGGCUGGACGGGGGCGCCGAGGUUCAGAAAAAAAGCUUGUCCGGAGGUCAUCCGCGUCUCUAACCGGGCGCUUUGCCUUGGUGUUUAAUGACGCACCUACGCUCCCCUCUGGCCCUCUUCCGGGGGUCGCUGGUCCUCUGUUCUCAGGAAGUUCCUCCAGACAAGUGUGCAGGGACCCUUGCCCGCCUUCAAAGGAACGGCGCUCCUGUCCUAAGGUGCUUGUUUGGGGUGCCACCUCCCCUGAGUCCCCGCACUCUGGACCUCGGCAGGGACGGCUCCAGGGUGGAGGCAGGUAGACGCCUCUGGCGCCCUGCAGACGGCGGUGCGGCCCCUCCCGCGGGGUUUGGGGCUGUUGCCUCCGUGUCAGCAGGGCCCUUCCGUCUCUGUGGAUGAUCCUACCUGAGUGCGUGGUGAGGCAGGGGCGUCUCAGGGGCAGGUGGCCUGGCGUGGCCGGGGCUCCCCGUUCACUGACAGAGCCAAUCAGUUCUCCCAGGGGCAAAAUUCCUCCUCACCCCACUGGGGGUCCAGAGACUCGGGGAGACGAUUCUGAGGGAGGAGCAGGCACGGGGCCUGGCCCGCGAGCAAGGUCUGUCCACCUUCUCCCCUCCAUUUCCCGGGAGGCGGGGAGCAGGAAGCUCCUAACCCCCGAGCUGUCCCCACACGGUGACAGCUGGGACGCAAAGAAGGCUGGCGCAUCUCAGCCACUCUUCCCAACACCGCCCGGCAUGAGCGGUCUUUGACCCGGCCUUGGAGUGUGGUCUCCGAGUGACUCCCACAGCUGUGUUUACACAACCGACCGCGCGCGCAUGUGUGUGUGUGUGUGUGUGAAGAGGUGGGAACACAACUUUCUUUUCUAGUUGCAAGUAUUUCUCUUGGACUUUUGACAAUCGUCCUGAACCCGAUUAAGUUCCUAGACUUCUAGGCUCCCUGGACAAGGCAGGUGCGCCCAGGACGUCUCGGAAGCUGCAGUCCUGGCACCUGGGAGCCGGGACAGCUCACAGCAGAGUCCAGGCCUUGUGCCCCAGGACAAACCCGCCCCCGGGGAGCCCUGUGGGACAGGUGGGCAUAGGACGGGCUGUGUCCAUCUCUGGCUUAUCCCCUGGCACAAGAGCGGCUGCUGGGUGAUAAACACUUGCCUUGGACUAAAGGAGAGCACGCGAGUCCCUUAAAGACCAGACGGACACUGGGCAGAGGGUGGAAGUUGCUUAAGGGGCUCGGUCGCUCCACACGGUGGAGAGAGGAGGAGGAAAGUGCACUGCGGCUUCUGCUGGAACAUUCCUCCAGGGAAGGGACACUCGAGAAAAGUAAAGAACGGAUGUUUGGAAAAGGCUGACGAUGGCUUCAGGGGCCCUCGCGGGCCCUGUCAGUGACUCUGCCUUCCACCCGGAGGCAGCGCCACGUGGCAGGUUGAUCACGACAGCGUCUAGGACUUUGGGGGUUGUGCAGCUAGAGAGACCUGGAGCUGGAGGUCACACCUGAGUCCCCCAGCCCAUCUCCAGGCCCCACCCUGCGAGGCUGCGAGACCCCUUCUGGGGGAAUCCUGGGUUUGCCUCUGUCCCCCCAGCAAGUUCAGCCUCUCCUGACACCCACAGUCCUGCUCCCCUCAGCUCAGGCCCCCGUCCCACCUGCUACGUCAGCGACCUUCUCAUCUCCUUUUGAGCGGUGGCCACU
rnacentral:lncRNA from 1 species